AUUUAAACUAUAAAGUGGAUUUGUUUUUAACCAACUAAAGAUAAAUGUUGAAUUAGCAAGAUUCUUGUUAUAGAAUACAACACACUCCCCCUAGUGUGAGGUAAACUUCCAAAUUUAUUUUAGAAACAAAUGAUUUAAAAUAAUACUAGUACUCAAAUUUUUGCUCACCCAGAACAGACAUUUUCUGGCUACUUUCCUUUCCUAAUACGUACCCAUUUGUUCACUUACACGACAAUUAGAUGUACAAUUCCUAAUAGUUG